AAAAUGAAAAACUCUUAUUGGCUAAUAAAAAUUGGUGGGGAUAAGCAAAACUUAAUCUCAACCGUUGGUAAACCUUAAUCUAGGUGAUGAAAUUUCAUUGGCUAAAGGUUGCCUCGUCUUUCUUAUUUUUCUUGUUUGUCUCAUUUUCUUCUCCUUACGGUUUACACAGAUCUUCACUUUCACUCUCUCUUUGUUUUAUUUGAUUCAUCCACCAAUUCUCACCGACCUAUCUCGCCAUCCCCGACAUCUCGCGCCACCAACGUCUUGUGCCAUAUCACCGUCGGAAUCUAUUUCUUGUUCUCUUUAAUCUUUGAUUUAUUUGGAUCUUUUAUGUGCUUGAGAUUCUAAUCGACAGUUUCUGUCUCUUUCAUUGUUUGAUUUUGAUUUUAUUAUUGUUCUUAAUAACAGAAUGAGACAACGUCAUGAAGAGGAGGAAGAAGAUCCGACGGAGGUGGUGCGGAGAUAAAAGAGGAAGAAGAGAUGCGGCGAGGUGAAUGUGACGAGCUUACGGUGAUGGAUCCCGCGGAGACAAUGAAUCGUCAGAUCUGAAGAAGCUGUGGUGUGGAUAUGGCAGAAGUUAGGGUCGUGGUGUGGAGGUGGAGCCAAGCACGAAUAAGAUAGAGGUGGCGGCUAGAUGAUUGAAGAUACCAACCUAGAAAUUUAGGUUUAGUUUCUAUUUUUUUCAAAACUUGGUUUAGCUUGGUUUAGUUUGGUUUAGUUUAAUAUACCAAUCUUCAAAUAUGUAACUAAUAUCGAUAUAUUAAGAUUUUAAAAUAUUUUUAUUUGUAUUUUUUUUUUAAUUUUUAAUACUAUAAAUAAUAACAAAAAAUAUACGCUAUUAAAG
rnacentral:lncRNA from 1 species